GGAAUGACUCAUGGCGAAGAGGAGGGGGCUUCAGGCAUGGCUGCCGUAAUAAGGCUCCUGGAGGAACAAAAGAGGCUCCUAUUGAGGACGACGGAUGACACAAAAAGAACCAUGGAAGAGCACAUGGGGCGAAUGACUAGGAGAAUGGAG